CCUACGGGAGGCAGCAGUGAGGAAUAUUGGUCAAUGGACGCAAGUCUGAACCAGCCAUGCCGCGUGAGUGAAGAAGUAUUUCGGUACGUAAAGCUCUAUCAGCAGGGAAGAAAAUGACGGUACCUGACUAAGAAGCCCCGGCUAACUACGUGCCAGCAGCCGCGGUAAUACGUAGGGGGCAAGCGUUAUCCGGAUUUACUGGGUGUAAAGGGAGCGUAGACGGCAGCGCAAGUCUGGAGUGAAAUCCCAUGGCUUAACCAUGGAACUGCUUUGGAAACUGUGCAGCUGGAGUGCAGGAGAGGUAAGCGGAAUUCCUAGUGUAGCGGUGAAAUGCGUAGAUAUUAGGAGGAACACCAGUGGCGAAGGCGGCUUACUGGACUGUAACUGACGUUGAGGCUCGAAAGCGUGGGGAGCAAACAGGAUUAGAUACCCCUGUAGUC
rnacentral:rRNA from 1 species